UUGAUAAUGAAAACGAGAUAAUACGAUGUCGACUCGUAUAAAACUGCAAAGUGUCAGAUUCUGAGCGAAACGAGAGACGUAUUGGUCUAAGUACUAUAUUUUUCUUUGCGUGUGUGUGUGUGUGUGUGUCUGUUAACGACUUUUCUACCAGAAAUGUUGCUCCUAUCAAA